rnacentral:lncRNA from 1 species
UGCUGAUUCAUUUUAUUGAAAAAGAAGCUGUAAUAUGUAUGACCUACAUUCAUGAAUAAAAAUUUCACUUUUUUCUUUUUAGUGUCUUCAAACCUGGAAGCUUUGGGUCAUCAUUCACUUGCGAUUUAUUCAGCAACUGUCAGUACAUCUACAGACCUGUGCCAAGGAGCCAAAGAGAAGAGAUCAGAAUAACCAAGGUAUGCUGUGUCAAAUUAAUUAACUUUUAGCAAACCAAGGGCCAAACAAUGUGACUGUAAGCUUCAUGACAGCAGGGAGUUUGUAUAUCUUUUCACCUGUGGAUCGGCAGUACCUAGCACCAUACCUGGCACAUUGUAGAUUAUA